UACGUAGGUCCCGAGCGUUGUCCGGAUUUAUUGGGCGUAAAGCGAGCGCAGGCGGUUAGAUAAGUCUGAAGUUAAAGGCUGUGGCUUAACCAUAGUAUGCUUUGGAAACUGUUUAACUUGAGUGCAGAAGGGGAGAGUGGAAUUCCAUGUGUAGCGGUGAAAUGCGUAGAUAUAUGGAGGAACACCAGUGGCGAAGGCGGCUCUCUGGUCUGUAACUGACGCUGAGGCUCGAAAGCGUGGGGAGCAAACAGGAUUAGAUACCCUGGUAGUCCACGCCGUAAACGAUGUCGACUUGGAGGUUGUGCCCUUGAGGCGUGGCUUCCGGAGCUAACGCGUUAAGUCGACCGCCUGGGGAGUACGGCCGCAAGGUUAAAACUC
rnacentral:rRNA from 1 species